CAUGGCUUUGUUUUUUUGCCCCAUCUGGGAAGGGUGGGUAGCUUCGGGUACUGAUAAAUGUUAAGCAGUAGUUUGUAAAUAAUGAUAUAAAGUCUGUUAGGCUCGUGCCAAACCCCCCGGGGUGUGGGUGUAAUUUCAGCGCUUGUCCUUUUCUUAGCCCCCCUCCCCACGUUGCUAUAUCGUAUCUUUCUACUGUCUGUAUUCGCACACACGCACUGCCAGGAUGUUUCUAAAUAGCCAAUACAUUAGAAGGUUUUAUAACUUAUGUAAAGGUUCUGGAGAUACGAAAUUGUUCAUGAUGCUCAAUAUGUAUCUGUACAAAAAGUACAUUGAAUAAAGUGUUUUGCAAUACAAACAAAACAUUGACCAUGUUGUCGUCCUUUCCUCGCACACACUGUCAAACGCUUAGUAAAUCACUAAGGUUAAAACCAAUGUCUUAAUUUCAGAAAUGUCAGAAAUUGAAAAACAGUAAAGACAUUCAAAUGCACACGUCUAAUAUGUGAUACUCAAGCUUGCGAAUUUCAUGCUGUUCUUGUUUCUCUGUUUCAGGAUCGCCAAACGCCGGGUCAAGGCCGUGUGGCAUCCGAGAAUGAAUGGAGGAGCUGACAAGUGAAUGAAUGAAUGCAUGAAUGAAUGGGUAGCUGAACUAACGGAUGAUUGGGACAAUGGGCGAAUGAGUAAACUUGCCUGUACUUGCUACUAGUACAGUGUAUAUGUAGCUGUAGUCUGUCUAGUCCACCCAGUACAGGGCAGACAGCGAUGUUUGGUACCGCUUGGUUCUCCCAGGACAGGGUGAAGCAAGCAGUAUUCGCGCCUUAUACUCGUUAUUAACGCGUGUCUUUGUUUUAUUUCUAACACUACAGCUACACCAUGUGCUGGAAGACAGAAUUUGGAGUAUCUACAACACGAGGACUUCUCCCUAAAGACUGGCUGUUGGAAGGAAACAGACUGCUUCUUGGCUCUUUCAGCUCUGAAGACCAGGCUGUAUGGAAAAACAAACGAAUGGAUGAACAAACUAAUUGAUGUGCCCACCCUGGACUGGAAGUUCCGUGGGUUCUACAACGCGAAGACUUCUCCCUGAGGACUGGCUGGUUGAAGGAAGUGUUCCUGGCUCCGUAUCUCCGACCUCAAAGAGAGCUGUUCUUGCUGUGGCAUGAGGCAGGAUGAAGAUCGCCGGUGAACAUCAGGACCAACAGGAAACAGAUUUACCCUUUUGAAUGCGUUUAUGUAAAGAAUGUAGCGUCUUUCCUGUGGUUUUGUUUGUUGACAAGGACGGAAUAGGUGGGGAGGGUAGUAAACUAGGACUGCAUGUUGACAAAAUUUUGGUCCCAGGCACUUCCUUUUAGCCAUGGGAAAUUGGCGCACAUUAAUUAUUGGCAAACCGACGCUCAUCCUGACAUGACCGCUUAUAGUCAUACUAUAUUUGUCAUUCUUUCUGAAUGUUAGUAUGGAAUUCACUCAGCUCACACUGGUUACAAAGAAAACAAUAAAAUUCGACAUUGAGAAGAUUGUGAACAGCUAAAGGAAACUGAGGUUUAAAUAAGACUAAAAAAUAGGCAGUCUAGAUGUAUAACAAACAAACAAACAAAAACCAAAACAAACUGUAGAGUAGGAUUUAACCGAGAAACAAUAAUAUUAGAUAGUCAGGUAUGUAAACUUUUAAAACCUUAGAAGACAGGCACAAAUAAAACAUUGCCUUCGUCUCUUCUGGCUGUUCACUUUUACAAAAACACCUUCUGGCGUCAUUUCUGUCACAAACUUCUGUGAGCUGAGUGAAACUCGUAACUUUGUUGUAAUGUUGUCGGGACUGUGAGUGGUUGUUGUCAGGAUGGCGUCCCAAGUUACCUCGGCAAUGGAGGCAACACCUUGACGCGGUGCCGGGGCUUCUACCAAGUUUGUCUCCGGAAAAUAAGUAAAACUGAAUCUAGUCGGUGUGGUCCUGGUAUGAGUAAACUUCUCGUCCUUAUUAUUUUAUUGGGACUUACUGAUCUACAAGUCUUACUAUUUGGGUAGUUUUCGUGUAUUAUUGCCUAUACUUCCUGUAUUCAUGAUUCAUGCAUAUCCCUUACAGAGUUGGAUAUACAAUAAAUUUUGCAAGGUUGUUUGUUUGCUUGUGAUUUAUUGAUUGAUUAGUACUAAAUGAUUA